rnacentral:rRNA from 1 species
GACGAACGCUGGCGGCGUGCCUAAUACAUGCAAGUAGAGCGCUGAAGAGAGGAGCUUGCUCUUCUUGGAUGAGUUGCGAACGGGUGAGUAACGCGUAGGUAACCUGCCUUGUAGCGGGGGAUAACUAUUGGAAACGAUAGCUAAUACCGCAUAACAAUGGAUGACCCAUGUCAUUUAUUUGAAAGGGGCAAAUGCUCCACUACAAGAUGGACCUGCGUUGUAUUAGCUAGUAGGUGAGGUAACGGCUCACCUAGGCGACGAUACAUAGCCGACCUGAGAGGGUGAUCGGCCACACUGGGACUGAGACACGGCCCAGACUCCUACGGGAGGCAGCAGUAGGGAAUCUUCGGCAAUGGGGGCAACCCUGACCGAGCAACGCCGCGUGAGUGAAGAAGGUUUUCGGAUCGUAAAGCUCUGUUGUAAGUCAAGAACGAGUGUGAGAGUGGAAAGUUCACACUGUGACGGUAGCUUACCAGAAAGGGACGGCUAACUACGUG